AGGGGUGGAGCUCAGUAGCAGAGCAUCUGCUUUGCAUGCAGGAGGUCCCAGGUCCAAUCCUUGGCAUCUCCA